rnacentral:rRNA from 1 species
GAACUGAAGAGUUUGAUCCUGGCUCAGAUUGAACGCUGGCGGCAUGCCUUACACAUGCAAGUCGAACGGCAGCACGGGGGCAACCCUGGUGGCGAGUGGCGAACGGGUGAGUAAUGCAUCGGAACGUGCCCAGUAGUGGGGGAUAACCCGGCGAAAGCCGGGCUAAUACCGCAUACGACCUAAGGGUGAAAGCGGGGGACCGUAAGGCCUCGCGCUAGUGGAGCG